AAGCCAACUUUGAUUUAUGUCUUAUUCAGCUCUUACCGACCAAUUUCAUCACUAUCAUUCAUUGCAUGUCAUCAUAUUUCCAUGUGCAUAAAAAUCAUUUCUUCCUUCCACUAUCUCGGUGCUAUAUAUCACAUCCAACAGUGACUUUCAGCAUACGUAAUUAAUUUGCAUAUAUGAGUUGAAAUAAUCGUAGCAUACAUUGUCACAAUCAGAUAAUUUAUAACACAUUAAUUACUCGUAUUUCUCUUAUAUUCAACUUAAUUAACUUAUGACGGUCAAGAUAGAUAAGUGUGAUUUUAAGAUUGCGUAUGAACAUGCUUGAUUAAUUUUUUUUACGUUGAUUAAAACUAUUGAUCAUUUAAUGUCACUGAUAUAAAUAAUCGCUUUUGUUAAAAUUUUUUGUUUGGUCAGGGAUUAAGACCAAAUGAGACCCAAACCAAAGAACAGCACAUCAUACCAACCUCAUUCAUCUAUCUGCAAUUCAGCCUCUGCUACAUUGCGACAUAUCAAGCUUGCACUCUUUAUCCUCGGCGGACCUUCAAAAACAUACCAACUCUUUCGAAGAAGAUGCUCCUUCUCGCCUUGUCAGAAUCAAGAUUAAUUCAUCCGAUUGCACGAUUGGCAUAUGGUUCAGCUCCUUCAAAACCUUUACGGGCAUCCGCAAGAUCAGAGGUUGUUGUUUCCUUACCUCCAUUAUCAUCGAAUUAGUUGCUCGGGAGAUAUGUGAUUGCCUUCUUCCUCGCUAUUGGGAAUGUCGUGGACGUAUAAGAUGCGCCGAUAAGAAUUGUCGCGUUCUAUCCCACUGAAAGUUGCUUCUCUCGCCAAUAUCAAAUAAAUAUAUUUCUUUGCCUGAUGAAAAGACUACAACACCUUUAGUAGAACCGAGAUUCUUCUCCAGUUUCGCCUUCAACCAAUCAACAAAGGUCAUACGACAAAGGCCGGUUGUGACCAAAACCUAGAAACUAUACGAUUCAGGUUGAAACACGGACUCUAUCUCAGAUCACAAGUGAUCUGGCUAGAUGGGAUACCACUUCAAACUGCAAUGACUUACUGUUUCGCUUCUGUUUGUAACCCACUCCUAGUAUGAUCUACGAUCGUUACACUUUCCGCACCCACCUAGCUUCCUUUUUGAUGAUUGUCUCAAUGCUUCUUGGAGGGUGUGUUCACCAAUUCUAGUGAAGAUCAUCUGCCAUCUUCAGUCUCGGCACCUUAUGAGCCAGAACAUUUCCUUCUCUCGGCAACCACAUCAGACUGCUACCAGGAACACUAUCUAGUAAAUGCCAAAUAUCUUGUUGUAUUGCAUCCACUUCACCAAUAGAACUUUUGGACUUAAUCGCCUGUAAGAGAGGCAGAGAGUCUAAUUCCACCAAGACAUUUUCCAUCCCCAAAUUUUUGGUUGUGAUUAAUUUACCAUUGCAGCAGCCCCUUCUUUGUUUUUGAACGCCGCGUCAACAUUCAUUUUCAAUCAAUUGUUCGGAGGAGGUCUCCAUCUUAUCAGGCUGUAUGUGAUCAACGCCGUAUGGCCGCGGUCAUUAAUCUCCUCUGCUUCAGAUCAAAAGCUAUAUGGCCGCAGUCAUCCAAUCUAAACAAGGGUGAAGCUCUAGCAGUUCAUUCUCUUAGUGAUCCUACACAAAAUGCCAUAGAUAGGGUCGAAUCUUCCGAAUCAGAGAAUGCUGUUCCUCCGGGUUCUAGACUCUACCACAGAGACCCUAAUCUCCCCGUAAAUUGGCUAAACUGGUGCCUCGAGAAGUCCCCAACGAAGUCGUGGAUUAGCCGUCUGAGAGAUGUAUAAUCAAGCUGGCGGUUCGUGCUUUCUAGCCACGUAUUCACACGAACCCAAGAAGACACGGGUGGUUGUCAGACACGCGGCCUUGGUAUGAUGAACGGAGCUGAUUGUCACAGAUCAUCCCAUUCACCAUAUUGAAGAAUGAAUAUACAUCUUAGAAUUGAAUCAAAUAUGGAUCGGAAAGAAACAAUAAUACUUUUUAUUGAUUCAUAUAACUCAGCAAGGCUCCACCCCUCAACCUAGGAGGUUUAGAAACUCAUACUAAUAGAAAAUACAAUGAUGAACAAAAAUAUGGUGUAAAGUGAUGGUAGAUGAUAUUCGAAAAACAUAAAUUCAAUCCCUUAAAUACUAAACUAAUGACUAGUAAAGGGUAAAACAGUCUUUUUAGUGGUAAGAUCCACUUCUG